GUUUUUGUAUCAAUACCAUACUGUUUUGAUGACUGUAGCUCUGUAGUAUUGUCUGAAGUCUGGGCGGGUUAUUCCUCCAGUUUUAUUUUUUUUUUCACCA